AUUGAACGCUGGCGGCAUGCCUUACACAUGCAAGUCGAACGGUAACGGGCCUUCGGGUGCCGACGAGUGGCGAACGGGUGAGUAAUGCAUCGGAACGUACCUUUCAGUGGGGGAUAACGUAGCGAAAGUUACGCUAAUACCGCAUAUUCUGUGAGCAGGAAAGCAGGGGAUCGCAAGACCUUGGCGCUGAUUGAGCGGCCGAUGUCAGAUUAGCUAGUUGGUGAGGUAAAAGGCUCACCAAGGCGACGAUCUGUAGCGGGUCUGAGAGGAUGAUCCGCCACACUGGAACUGAGACACGGUCCAGACUCCUACGGGAGGCAGCAGUGGGGGAAUUUUUGGACAAAUGGGGGGCGAACCCUGAUCCAGCCAUGCCGCGUGAGUGAAGAAGGCCU
rnacentral:rRNA from 1 species